GACUAACGCUGGCGGCGUGCUUAACACAUGCAAGUCGAACGGAAAGGCCCUGCUUGCAGGGUGCUCGAGUGGCGAACGGGUGAGUAACACGUGGGUGAUCUGCCCCUUACUUUGGGAUAAGCCUGGGAAACUGGGUCUAAUACUGGAUAGGACCAUGCUGUAGGUGGUGUGGUGGAAAGAUUAGUUUCGGUAAGGGAUGAGCUCGCGGCCUAUCAGCUUGUUGGUGGGGUAAUGGCCUACCAAGGCGUCGACGGGUAGCCGGCCUGAGAGGGUGGACGGCCACAUUGGGACUGAGAUACGGCCCAGACUCCUACGGGAGGCAGCAGUGGGGAAUAUUGCACAAUGGGCGCAAGCCUGAUGCAGCGACGCCGCGUGGGGGAUGACGGCCUUCGGGUUGUAAACUCCUUUCAGCCAUGACGAAGCCCUUGUGGUGACGGUAGUGGUAGAAGAAGCACCGGCUAACUACGUG
rnacentral:rRNA from 1 species